rnacentral:misc_RNA from 1 species
UGUACCGGGCCAAAUAUGUU